UUCCUUUUAUUGAUUGUGGUA
rnacentral:miRNA from 1 species